UACGGAGGGGACUAGCGUUGUUCGGAAUUACUGGGCGUAAAGCGCACGUAGGCGGAUUUGUAAGUCAGGGGUGAGAUCCCGGGGCUCAACCUCGGAACUGCCUUUGAUACUGCAAAUCUCGAGUCCGGAAGAGGUGAGUGGAAUUCCGAGUGUAGAGGUGAAAUUCGUAGAUAUUCGGAAGAACACCAGUGGCGAAGGCGGCUCACUGGACUGGUAUUGACGCUGAGGUGCGAAAGCGUGGGGAGCAAACAGG
rnacentral:rRNA from 1 species